rnacentral:piRNA from 1 species
UGUGGCCACUGUUACCCAUCAGGCUACCUC